ACUGAGAACAGGUCCCAGGCCCUACGGGGCGCAGCCGUUGCGAAAACUCGUCAAUGCACGAAAGUGUGAACGGGCUACCCCGAGUGCUGUCCGCUGAGGAUGGCUUUUCUCUGCUGUAAGGAGGCGGAGGAAUAAGGAGAGGGCAAGUCUGGUGUCAGCCGCCGCGGUNAUACCAGCUCUCCGAGUGGUGGGGAUGUUUAUUGGGCUUAAAGCGUCCGUAGCCUGCCCUUCAAGUCUUUCGUUAAAUCCAGCGAUUCAAUCGUUGGACCGCGGGAGAUACUGUUGGGCUAGGGGGCGGGAGAAGCCGACGGUAUUUCCGGGGUAGGGGUAAAAUCCUAUAAUCCCGGGAGGACCACCAGUGGCGUAGGCGGUCGGCUGGCACGUGCUCGACGGUGAGGGACGAAAGCUGGGGGAGCAAACCGGAUUAGAUACCCGGAUAGUCCCAGCUGUAAACGAUGCGGGCUAGGUGUUGGAGUGGCCACGAGCCACUUCAGUGCCGCAGGGAAACCAUUAAGCCCGCCGCCUGGGGAGUACGGCCGCAAGGCUGAAACUUAAAGGAAUUGGCGGGG
rnacentral:rRNA from 1 species